ACACGCCUGUUUGUCUGUAUAUAUGUAGGUGUUUUAAUUGCUGCUAUGUGCCUCUCGCAACACCAGGCAAAGGAACAUCUCUGGGACCAGGGAGCAGCUGGAUUUCCCGGGAACCUGAGGCUAGAGGGCCAAACGGACUUUCCCAGGAGAUGUCGGGGACCAGCAGCUGGAAUGGGCCUGGGAAAUCCCUCCAGACAGUCUCAGCCCCAUGUGCAUAUCAGACAAGGGAAAAACGGACAUUGCAGGUGUCAGGAUCUACAACGAGACCAGUGGGACAGCGUCCAGUUUCCCUUAGAAGGCCUUCAAAAUCCAGAGCAAUACACCCAGACGUUUUCCUCAAGCCUAAGUUAGUUUGGGCCUGGUUAAUUCGACAGGCACCAUUCACCUCGUUUCCUCAACUUGCUGGGGAGCUGUGUUCAUCCUCUUCUAGCCGUUCUCCUGAAUUCCUCUGCUCUCUGAAGUGCAGCGCUGGUGCAGACAGAGCAUGAAUACAAAUGUGGGAGCCUUUUCUGCAGCUCAAAUCUGUUCUUCCUCAGGCUGUGGAAUCAUUUCAUAUAUGGCAAUAAUAGGCUGCAAACACUGCAUGUACUCUGACAGCUGUAAAACCACGUUUCAGAGAUACAAAA